CCUACGGGUGGCAGCAGUGGGGAAUCUUCCACAAUGGGCGAAAGCCUGAUCGAGCAACGCCGCGUGGGUGAAGAAGGUCUUCGGAUCGUAAAACUCUGUUGUCAGAGAAGAAAGAGAGUGAGAGUAACUGCUCACGAGCCGACGGUAACUAACCAGAAAGCGACGGCUAACUACGUGCCAGCAGCCGCGGUAAUACGUAGGUGGCAAGCGUUAUCCGGAUUGAUUGGGCGUAAAGGGAGAGCAGGCGGGCUUUUAAGUCUGACGUGAAAGCCUUCGGCUUAACCGGAGUAGUGCAUUGGAAACUGGGAGACUUGAGUGCAGAAGAGGAAAGUGGAACUCCAUGUGUAGCGGUGAAAUGCGUAGAUAUAUGGAGGAACACCAGUGGCGAAGGCGGCUCUCUGGUCUGUAACUGACGCUGAGGUUCGAAAGCGUGGGUAGCAAACAGGAUUAGAUACCCUUGUAGUC
rnacentral:rRNA from 1 species